rnacentral:rRNA from 1 species
GACAGAGGUGCCGAGCGUUAGGCGGAAUCACUGGGCUUAAAGCGUGUGUAGGCGGGCCGUUAAGUAUCUUGUGAAAUCCCCCGGCUCAACCGGGGAAUGGCUGGAUAUACUGGCGGUCUUGAGCGAUCUAGGGGCAGAUGGAACAAGUGGUGGAGCGGUGAAAUGCGUAGAGAUCAGGAAGAACACCGGUGGCGAAGGCGCUCUGCUAGGCCGCAACUGACACUGAGGGACGAAAGCUAGGGGAGCGAAUGGG